GGCGGGGGCGGGGGUGGGGGGGGUGCCUCCUGCCAGCUGGCUGCCCGGGGCUGGCGGGACGGGAAGCUGCGAAGCGGCCGCCGCGGCAGGCUCCCGGUCUGCCGAAGGCGAGCUGGGCCAGGGCAGCGCCGGGGAGUUCCCUGAGAGCUGAUAGAAGGGAAGAGGGGAUGGAGGCGGGCACCCCCCAGGCGCGGCCACCGAGCGCCUCCCCGAGUCGCCAGAGCUCCCCCGGCCCUGCUCAGCCCGUGCGGCUGCCCCCAGCUCCAGCCCCUCCCCUGAAGCCUGUGCUGUAGCCGCAGGCAGCCCCCGAGCCCUGUCGUGAGGGCAGCAAGCUGGCCCUCCGGUGUUCUCGAGUCUCCCUUAACAGGCCAUGCUAUGGGUGUGGUUGUCCGUUCGUCCCCUGGGGAUGCCGUUGACUGCAGCAGCCUCAGGCUUGCAUGGGCUGUCUCUGCCUGGCCUCCCUCUCCUUGCGACGCGGGAGCACAGAGGGACAGGCAGAGCGCUUACUGGCUGUGGACGGGAGCUGCUGAAGCUGGAGAGGCCACAAAAAUCGUAAAGCUGCUGAAGAAUAAAAUAAAGAGGAUGCAGCCAGCAGCUACAGACAGGAGGUAGCCUGCCUCUUCAGGUGGAUGACAGUCAAGUGACUGCAGCUACAGAGGAGGAAGGGAGAGGGAGAGAGAGACAGACAUGUCUGAACUGUCAAAUUCUCCCAGCAGCUCCAAGAGUGGGAGGUACAGUGAGUCCUGGACCCCUGGGGCUGUGUCACCCCUCUUCUGCAUCCCAGUCCCUCCCUGCCCCCACCUUCUCUUUCUCUCGCUGCUUUAAUUUUUCUGUUUUUUCUUCCUGUACCUCUCCCUCUCUUGUUCUCUAAGUCCCCCUCUUUCUCUGUUGUUCUGCCUGUUUUCUUUUUCUCUCUGCACUUCUGACCUGUCCCAUCCCUCUUUUUUUAUCCUCUGUCUCUGCCGUGCAGCCCAUCACUACUUGUCUUUCUCCAUCUAUCUGUCUGUCUUCUUAUCCCAAUCUCGUUAAUUCCUCCCUGUCUGCCUUUUAGCCCUUCACAAUUCCCACCGCUCUCACCUGUCUGACGCUGUGUCUCUAUUUUUAAAUUCCUUUCUCUGCCCUGUAUUCUGGAUACACUUUUACUUUCUUAGAUUCUCUUGUUCCAGGUCCCUGUCCCUAUGUUUUAACUUCUUCCCUCACUGUCCCAUAGCCCAUUUUUGUCUUUAUUAUUCUCUCUCUGUCUGGCUCCCUGUCCCUAUUCUUUAUUUCCCCUCUCUCUCCCCUUUAGAUCAUCAAUGUUUUUGAUAUUUUUCAGUCUCUCUCAUCUACCUCGCUGUCCUCUUUUUUUAAUUCUUCCUUCUGCCCUGUGGCUCAUCACUAAUAUUUGUUUUUCUCCAUCUCUCUGUCUGGUACCCUCUCCCUUUUUAUUAGUUCCUCCUUUCUGUCCUGUAGCCCAUUGCUAUUUCCCCCCGUGCCAUCUCUCUCUGUCUCCCUUUCCCUACUUUUCAAUCCCCCCUCUCUGCCCUGUAGCCGAUCACUGUUGUAGUGAGUUUGUGUGGCAAGCUGGGGCAGGAGAGUGGGCAGGGGCUGCAGGGGUGGGUUCUGUGAGAAGACACCAGGACUUGCCCCCAUGUUGGGCACAGCCAGUUCCAGCUCCAAGAUGGAGCUGCUACUGGUCAAACCUGAGCCAACCAGCAACGCUAGUAACACCUCUGUGAUAUUUAAGAAGGGCUAAAAAAAAUGCUGUGAAGAAGCUGUCAGUCCUGCGGACACCUAGGUCAGUGAAGAAGGAAAAGGAGAAGGUGAUCCAGGUCCUAAAGCAG